UACAGAGGGUGCGAGCGUUGUCCGGAAUUACUGGGCGUAAAGGGCGCGUAGGCGGCGGGAUAAGCGUGUGGUGAAAGCUCGGGGCUCAACUUCGAGUCUGCCAUGCGGACUGUCUUGCUCGAGCGUAGUAGAGGCAGGUGGAAUUCCGGGUGUAGCUGUGGAAUGCGUAGAGAUCCGGAAGAACACCGGUGGCGAAGGCGGCCUGCUGGGCUACUGCUGACGCUGAUGCGCGACAGCGUGGGGAGCAAACAGG
rnacentral:rRNA from 1 species